GAAGUACUCCCUCGGUCCCAAAAUUCUUGUCUUAGAUUUGUCUAGAUACGGAUGUAUCUAAUACUAAAACAUGACUUGAUACAUCCGUAUUUAGACAAUUCUAAGACAAGAAUUUUGGGACGGAGGGAGUAGUUA
rnacentral:pre_miRNA from 1 species